UCUCUCUCUCUCUCUAUGUAUGCACCUUGAAAUGAACGAUAUUGAAUUUCUUUUCGAUGCUUGGUGUUGAUUUGUUUUUGUAGGAAAUUUUAAUUGGAAAGCAAUGUGAUUUUUAUUACCUUUGUUUUUUUAAGGAUAAGAGUUUAAAUUUUUGUUUUGGUUAAAGUUUGUUUGCUCAUCUAUCUUUAGCAAGUUGCAACUCGCAACAGUGAGUUUACUGAGAUGAUAAGCAAUUGAGGAGAGAGGGAACUGAAAAUGGAAAUUGAAAACUUGGGGAAAAAAAUAAAGCUAGAAAUUCCCUAGAAAAGUGUAUUUUGUUUUUUAGUAGGUGGUAUGCUGUACGUGAUGGGUAAGAUCUUUAGUUGUUGAAUAUUCUUGUAGUGAAAAACUGUUACAUUAUCUUGGAAGGGUGGGAAAAUAGCUGGGUUUAUUCUUUUUCUACUUUCUUUUUCUUUUCUUUUCUAUCAAGGUUGGAGGGUAGGUGAAAUUUUUGAAUCACUAAUUUUCUUCAUUACCAUAAGCUCCACUGUUUUAUUACACUAUUUUAGCUCGUAGGAUGGGAAAGCUUUACAAGUUUUCUUGCCAUCGAAGUUACUUGCGAGAAAAUCGUCUUAUACAUAUAGACCACCUUCCUGGGUCUUGGAUAAUUAUGAUUACAAACGCAUAAAUUUUAAGUUGAGAUUGAAGUCUGUCUUCAUCCCCAUUUUGGAUCAUCAGCAAUCCUGUACUAGUCUCUCCUCAAGGUUCUUGUUAGUGUCUCUUCAACAAUUGGCAUGCUUUCAUUCAUUUAAUUCUCAAGUAUUACUGUUUUCAGAAAUGCCCUGGUUGCUGAUAUCUGAUAUACGCACCUUCCAAAAUUAAUUGCCAUUCUCCUCAAAGUCAAAGUUGUACUUGGCCUUCUAAAAGAACUAAAGAAGUGCAUGGAUUUUUUUUAAGUUUUUUGUUAGCCUUUCAUGUGUAUGUUUGCAUCACAUGUCCAAACAAUCUUUCUGGAAAGAUUUUGGUCACAAUUUAGUGGCUUGAGGACUUCAGUUAGAAAAUGAAAGGUUUGAAAAAGGCUUUGACGUGGUGCUUUGUUUCUUUCACCUUUCCUUUGUAUGAAUGUGUCCAAGAAAGGGAUGCUUUUAACAGCUGUCCUCGUUGCUCUCUUGAGCAUCUAUAUGCAGAACAUAUUUUUGGUUCCUGACUUCCAGUAGUAGGAUAAUUAAAAAAAUUAAAAAAAAAGCAAAGUGAAAAAUGUCUAUAAUUUACAGUAUGAAGAUUUUGGAAAAAAUGGUUACUUUGUGUGUGUGCUCACUUUACUCUCUCUACCAUGCCUCAUUCCCGUAAUCUUUUGGAGGACUAAAAAAAGAAGCUUCCAGGCUCUGAAUGAGUAGCCCAUGGUUACACAGGGGGAAUAUCAUCUGAGAUUUAGGGCUGUAUACCUGAAAGCUUUAUAAGAGAACUUGGAACUGGGAAUGUGUGUAGUUAAUAGACAGAGCUAUACAAGUGGGAGGAACUUUGGAACAUCGGCAUUGCAAGAAAUGAUUGAGUGACAAGAUAAAAACAUGCAUGCUCUACCUAUCAUAGGCAAGAUAUCUUUGUGCAAUAUCAAGAAGGAAUAUAUGGAGUUGAGUGUUUCCAUCACAAAGAGUUAUGCAGUUACUGCAGAAGGUGGAUAGUGGAGAAUUAUAUGUUUAUGCAUGUGUAAUAAAUGAAUAGUUCCCUUGAUAUACUUUACAAGAAUGAGGCUAUGGCUCUGCAUCUCUCUUCCUCCAUUGUAAUGUAUGACAGUCAUUCUCAUUUAAUCUAUGGGUUUGAUUGCAGCAUGGUUUUUUAUAUAACUUAAUGGGAGUGAGAAGUGAAAAGUGAGAAUUUCAAGGGGUAUGAACCAAGUUGUUGUUUAAAAAAGUUGAGGGAGCAGAAACGCAGGUAUAGAGCUUUUAGUUUAACACCAAUAGAAUAAGUUCAGGCAGAGUAAGGACUUCCGAUUCAGACACUGAUCUUCCCUAUUCAUGACUGCACAUGUCAAGUAAAAUAGCACUGGUGCAAGAAUAAAUUAGAGACUUGGUUUUGUCCAUUGCAAAUUUGCAAGAAUUAAGAAUACUGCUGGAGGGUG
rnacentral:misc_RNA from 1 species